rnacentral:rRNA from 1 species
GACGAACGCUGGCGGCGCGCUUAACACAUGCAAGUCGAGCGAUGAAACUUUAAAAGACCCUUUCGGGGCGAAGAUAAAGUGGAUGAGCGGCGGACGGGGGAGUAACACGUGAGUAACCUGCCUUAGACAUUGGGAUAGCAUCGGGAACCCGGGAUUAAUACCAAAUAAAAUCAUAAGGACACAUGUCAUAACGAUCAAAACUCCGAUGGUCUAAGAUGGACUCGCGUCUCAUUAGCUAGCUGGUAGAGUAAAAGCCUACCAAGGCGACGAUGGGUAGCCGGCCUCAGAGGGAGAGCGGCCACAUUGGAACUGGGAAGCGGUCCAAACUCCUACGGGAGGCAGCAGUGGGGAAUAUUGCACAAUGGAGGGAACGCAGAUGCAGCGACGCCGCGUGAACGAAGAAGGCGGUCGAGUCGUAAAGUUCGUUAAUAUGGGAAGAUAAUGACGUUACCAGAAGAAAAAGCCCCGGCUAACUACGUG